rnacentral:misc_RNA from 1 species
AACGCACAUUGCGCCUGCCAGUAUUCUGGCGGGCAUGCCUGUUCGAGCGUCAUUUCAACCCUCGAGCCCUUCUGGGCUUGGUGUUGGGGCCCGGCUUCCCGCUCUUUGGGCGCGGCCGGCCCUGAAAAUUAGUGGCGGUCUCGCUGCAGCCUCCCCUGCGUAGUAGCACAUCUCGCACUGGAGCGCGGCGCGGCCACGCCGUCAAAACGUUGCCCCCGGGCAGUUUUAUUUACCAAGGUUGACCUCGGAUCAGGUAGGGAUACCCGCUGAACUUAA